rnacentral:rRNA from 1 species
UACGUAGGGUGCGAGCGUUAAUCGGAAUUACUGGGCGUAAAGCGUGCGCAGGCGGUUUUGUAAGACAGGCGUGAAAUCCCCGGGCUCAACCUGGGAAUGGCGCUUGUGACUGCAAAGCUAGAGUGCGGCAGGAGGGGGAUGGAAUUCCGCGUGUAGCAGUGAAAUGCGUAGAUAUGCGGAGGAACACCGAUGGCGAAGGCAAUCCCCUGGGCCUGCACUGACGCUCAUGCACGAAAGCGUGGGGAGCAAACAGG